ACCUAGCAGCAUGUAGUGGCUACCCAGUAGAAUAGAAAGAUGAACCUCUAGGUGCAGUUAACAUGUGAUACAGUCCUACUAUCAUGGAUCCCUACAGGACGGAGGUCAUGGACAACUCGUCAAACCCCAUCGUCUGUCAUAUGUCAAGAUUUAUUCGACUUGAGUUCGAUAGUGAAAAACUCUUUUUCCACUUUAUAUUACUGCCCUGGCCAAGGUCUUA
rnacentral:lncRNA from 1 species